rnacentral:rRNA from 1 species
AGAGUUUGAUCCUGGCUCAGGAUGAACGCUGGCGGCGUGCCUAAUACAUGCAAGUCGAGCGAACGGACGAGAAGCUUGCUUCUCUGAUGUUAGCGGCGGACGGGUGAGUAACACGUGGAUAACCUACCUAUAAGACUGGGAUAACUUCGGGAAACCGGAGCUAAUACCGGAUAAUAUUUUGAACCGCAUGGUUCAAAAGUGAAAGACGGUCUUGCUGUCACUUAUAGAUGGAUCCGCGCUGCAUUAGCUAGUUGGUAAGGUAACGGCUUACCAAGGCAACGAUGCAUAGCCGACCUGAGAGGGUGAUCGGCCACACUGGAACUGAGACACGGUCCAGACUCCUACGGGAGGCAGCAGUAGGGAAUCUUCCGCAAUGGGCGAAAGCCUGACGGAGCAACGCCGCGUGAGUGAUGAAGGUCUUCGGAUCGUAAAACUCUGUUAUUAGGGAAGAACAUAUGUGUAAGUAACUGUGCACAUCUUGACGGUACCUAAUCAGAAAGCCACGGCUAACUACGUGCCAGCAGCCGCGGUAAUACGUAGGUGGCAAGCGUUAUCCGGAAUUAUUGGGCGUAAAGCGCGCGUAGGCGGUUUUUUAAGUCUGAUGUGAAAGCCCACGGCUCAACCGUGGAGGGUCAUUGGAAACUGGAAAACUUGAGUGCAGAAGAGGAAAGUGGAAUUCCAUGUGUAGCGGUGAAAUGCGCAGAGAUAUGGAGGAACACCAGUGGCGAAGGCGACUUUCUGGUCUGUAACUGACGCUGAUGUGCGAAAGCGUGGGGAUCAAACAGGAUUAGAUACCCUGGUAGUCCACGCCGUAAACGAUGAGUGCUAAGUGUUAGGGGGUUUCCGCCCCUUAGUGCUGCAGCUAACGCAUUAAGCACUCCGCCUGGGGAGUACGACCGCAAGGUUGAAACUCAAAGGAAUUGACGGGGACCCGCACAAGCGGUGGAGCAUGUGGUUUAAUUCGAAGCAACGCGAAGAACCUUACCAAAUCUUGACAUCCUUUGACAACUCUAGAGAUAGAGCUUUCCCCUUCGGGGGACAAAGUGACAGGUGGUGCAUGGUUGUCGUCAGCUCGUGUCGUGAGAUGUUGGGUUAAGUCCCGCAACGAGCGCAACCCUUAAGCUUAGUUGCCAUCAUUAAGUUGGGCACUCUAAGUUGACUGCCGGUGACAAACCGGAGGAAGGUGGGGAUGACGUCAAAUCAUCAUGCCCCUUAUGAUUUGGGCUACACACGUGCUACAAUGGACAAUACAAAGGGCAGCAAAACCGCGAGGUCAAGCAAAUCCCAUAAAGUUGUUCUCAGUUCGGAUUGUAGUCUGCAACUCGACUACAUGAAGCUGGAA